CAAUAGCGUAUAUUAAAGUUGUUGCAGUUAAAAAGCUCGUAGUUGGAUUUCUGGUUGAAGCGACCGGUCGGGCGUUGAUUCGUCUGCACUGGAGUCGGUUUUGGCCAUCCUCUAGGAAAGUGCGUCUGGUAUUAAGUUAUCGGGCGUAUGAUCCUGGUCUUUUACUGUGAAAAAAUUAGAGUGUUUAAAGCAGGCCUUCGCCUUGAAUACAUUAGCAUGGAAUAAUAAGAUAGGACUUUGGUCUAUUUUGUUGGUUUGCAGACCGAAGUAAUGAUUAAUAGGGAUAGUUGGGGGUAUUUAUAUUCCGAUGUCAGAGGUGGAAUUCUUAGAUUUUCGGAAGAUAAACUUAUGCGAAAGCAUUUACCAAGGAUGUUUUCAUUAA
rnacentral:rRNA from 1 species